GGUGCCGUUGGUGUUAUUUGCCGGGAUGACCAAGGGCUAUUCAAGGGGGCUUCAGCGGUAGUUUUUGAAGGAGUGACGGACCCGGCCACUCUCGAGGCCUAUGCAUGCCGAGAAGCCUUGGUUCUCGCUGAAGAUCUCGGUUUACGCAAGCUUAAGAUAGCUUCAGACUGUCUGACAGUCAUCAAUGAUCUUCAUGCACCCAUCCAGAUGGGAGGCUACUGUAUGGUUUUGAAGGAGAUUCAAACCCGACGUACACAGUUUCAGGCUAGUGAAUUUAGCCACGAACAGCGCACAUGUAAUAAGGAGGCACAUCACAUAGCCAGAUAUGCGACUACUUUACAUCCUGGGCGCCAUCUUUGGCUGCUCGAGCCACCUGUUGGCCUUUGUAUUCCUACCAACAUUUCUACUUAA
rnacentral:rRNA from 1 species